rnacentral:rRNA from 1 species
CAGCCGCCGCGGUAAUACAGAGGGUGCGAGCGUUAAUCGGAUUUACUGGGCGUAAAGCGUGCGUAGGCGGCUUCUUAAGUCGGAUGUGAAAUCCCUGAGCUUAACUUAGGAAUUGCAUUCGAUACUGGGAAGCUAGAGUAUGGGAGAGGAUGGUAGAAUUCCAGGUGUAGCGGUGAAAUGCGUAGAGAUCUGGAGGAAUACCGAUGGCGAAGGCAGCCAUCUGGCCUAAUACUGACGCUGAGGUACGAAAGCAUGGGGAGCAAACAGGAUUAGAUACCGAGUAGUCCCUGUCUCUUAUACA